rnacentral:lncRNA from 1 species
CAUGGGGCAGGGACUCUCUCCUAAAUAGCAUGGUACCAUUUAGAUUUUGGGUGAGCAGUGAAGAUCAGUGUCAGAUUCAAGAUUUUAAAAAUGGAUCUGACAGGUAAGGGAAUAGCUAACAUCUCUGGCAGAAUCUCAUUAACCCUUUGAUGACUUGCUAACGAGUUCAGAACAUAAGCUCCUCUUCAAAGUAAACACAGGCACAUGAAAACUUGACAGAAAAGGAGUGGAGGAUGUGAACUGGAUAGAUAUGGGA